rnacentral:rRNA from 1 species
AUUGGACGCUGGCGGCAGGCCUAACACAUGCAAGUCGAGCGGAUGAAGGGAGCUUGCUCCUGGAUUCAGCGGCGGACGGGUGAGUAAUGCCUAGGAAUCUGCCUGGUAGUGGGGGAUAACGUCCGGAAACGGGCGCUAAUACCGCAUACGUCCUGAGGGAGAAAGUGGGGGAUCUUCGGACCUCACGCUAUCAGAUGAGCCUAGGUCGGAUUAGCUAGUAGGUGGGGUAAAGGCCUACCAAGGCGACGAUCCGUAACUGGUCUGAGAGGAUGAUCAGUCACACUGGAACUGAGACACGGUCCAGACUCCUACGGGAGGCAGCAGUGGGGAAUAUUGGACAAUGGGCGAAAGCCUGAUCCAGCCAUGCCGCGUGUGUGAAGAAGGUCUUCGGAUUGUAAAGCACUUUAAGUUGGGAGGAAGGGCAGUAAGUUAAUACCUUGCUGUUUUGACGUUACCAACAGAAUAAGCACCGGCUAACUUCGUG